rnacentral:misc_RNA from 1 species
AUCAACCAACCACUGGAGAUUGGCUGGCGACUGGCGUUGUCGAGAGCGCGUACACUGCUGCGUUCCCCUAGUUUAUAUCGUCUGCGGCCUCUAUAAAUUUACAACUGAAAAUUUCACUUCAGAAGAAGAGAAGAAGAAGCAACUGACGCCCAAAGAAAGAUGUGCUACGAGGUGACAUGCUCGAGUUGCGGCAAAACGACUUGGGGCGGUUGUGGGAGGCAUGUCCGAUCUGUUUAUAAGCGAAUCCCUCAGGGCCAACACUGUCUUUGCAAUGGAUGGCCUGGCGUCGAUCCCAAUA